GCCCUGGUAGCGCAACUGGUCAGAGCGUGGGACUUUUAUAUCUUCUAUAUAAUCCCAAGGCUGCGGGUUCGAAUCCCGCCUGGGGCG
rfam:Magnaporthe poae ATCC 64411 unplaced genomic scaffold supercont1.28, whole genome shotgun sequence.